rfam:Monodelphis domestica cont3.071837, whole genome shotgun sequence.
GGCUGUGUAUCUCAGUGGAUAGAGACCCAAGCCUAGAGGUGGGAGGUCCUAGGUUCGAAUCCAGCCUCAGCCA